GUCCGUGUGGCGCAAUGGUUAGCGCUUCUCACUUCUAUGAAUAGUCGUCACAUGAGAGGGCUGCGGGUUCGAAUCCCGCCAUGGAUU